rnacentral:rRNA from 2 species
UACAGAGGGGGCAAGCGUUGUUCGGAAUUACUGGGCGUAAAGGGCGCGUAGGCGGCCUUCUAAGUCAGACGUGAAAUCCCUCGGCUCAACCGGGGAACUGCGUCUGAGACUGGAAGGCUUGAAUCCGGGAGAGGGAUGUGGAAUUCCAGGUGUAGCGGUGAAAUGCGUAGAUAUCUGGAGGAACACCGGUGGCGAAGGCGGCAUCCUGGACCGGUAUUGACGCUGAUGCGCGAAAGCCAGGGGAGCAAACGGG